rnacentral:tRNA from 1 species
AGGGAAUAGUUUAUUUUAGAAUAUUAAUUUUGGAGAUUAAUGAUGGGAUUUUUUCUCUUCUCUGAA